rnacentral:lncRNA from 1 species
AAAGUUGGGCUGAUUGUUGGGGGCUCAAUAAGUUUCUAGUAGUAGUCAGGACGGAUUUUCAAAAACCCGAAUCCGAACCCGACUACCAAAUCCGAAAUCCAAAUUCAAAUCCGAAUUCAAAUCCAAAUCUGACCGAUUUUAUAAAUCAAUCCAUAUCCAAACCCAACCCAACUAGAAAUUCGAAACCCAAACUUGAAACAAUUAAUUACUCUUUACAAUAUUUCAAAAUAUAUUACAUUAAAUCAAUUUUUCAAAAAUACAAAUUCAAAUAUAACAUCAAAUAUUAUAGAUAAUAUAAAUUCAAUUCGAGCUCGUGUUGGGUACAAUCAAAAUCCAUUCCCGAAUCCAAAUCCAUAAGGUUGUUAUUUUUUAUAUACGUAUUCAAAACUAUAUACAUUUAUCAUCAGAUAAAUCCAUUUCGUUCGGAUUCAGAUUUACGUUUGGAUAAAAUUUCGAAUAUCCGUAAUCAUUGAUAUUUUUAGGCAUGAUCAUGAUUU